GGAAGGAUCUCCUGCUGGAGAUUCCUUCUUUGUGGAGUCUUCCUGUGAGCCUAGAUCUUCAGCUACAGGGAACAGGAUUCUCUGGAUAAGGCCUGAAAAGACGCAGCGUGUUCCCAGGUCACAUGCAAGUUUUGCUGUACACCUACAUUUGGAUCAGCACCGGCAUUUGAGAGAUCUGCUGUUGAGAAACAAAUCUGCUUCUCCAAGUGACAUACUGAAUGAUGAGCAGCAGCCAAAGUUUUGGAGCGUUCCUCCGGUACGGGGAGGCUUCCUUCAAUGGACAGGUGCUUUGUAUCAGGCACUGGAGCCCUGCAGACCAGAGCUGUGCAGUACCUAACCCAGAGGUCAUCUGUCUAGGAAGAUGUUAACAUCAAAACCUGACACCAGGGCCCCUCAGUUCUUUUGACAGUAUGGGAGAUAUACAGCUGGGUGCAUUUUACAUGUGAGAUGGGAUGCCUGGUUAAAGCUGUAGAUUUUUGUGUGAUGCUUGCUUUGAAGAAGGAGUUUUAAAAUAAGAGUAAGACAAAGAAAGUAGGCAAAACCCUGUAUUUUGACAAACAGAAUUUGCCUUGCAAAGAUGUGACUUCUGAAAAGGUUGUUUUUCUUGGCAGUAAGCAAAAAUAACAGUAUGGAGCUUCUCAUUAAAUGAAGCCAGGCUGAAAAACUUUGUCUAAAUUUUCUAGUAGUGGGUUGAGAGAUGGAGUGAUGGCAGACAUGGAAUAAGCAAAGUCCAGUGCUUUUCUUACUACCUGGAGCUUUGUUGUGGUUUGCUAUCAAGAUGUAAGGACUUCUGAUUCUGUCAGAGUAUGCAGGCUUUAGCUAGGGAAACCAUGAGGCUGAAUUUAGGAUUCUGCUCUUUGAUAUUGUAACCUGCUUUAUUGCUUUUGGGCUCGUUUUAAAAAUUAUAUUUAUCAAGGCUUAUAGUUACUGCUAUGCACUUUGUCUUGCCUAGAUGAAU